GACGAACGCUGGCGGCGUGCUUAACACAUGCAAGUCGAACGGAAAGGCCCCUUUGGGGGUACUCGAGUGGCGAACGGGUGAGUAACACGUGAGUAACCUGCCCUUGACUUCGGGAUAACUUCAGGAAACUGGGGCUAAUACCGGAUAGGAAUCCUUGCUGCAUGGUGGGGGUUGGAAAGCUUCGGCGGUUUUGGAUGGACUCGCGGCUUAUCAGCUUGUUGGUGGGGUAGUGGCUUACCAAGGCUUUGACGGGUAGCCGGCCUGAGAGGGCGACCGGCCACAUUGGGACUGAGAUACGGCCCAGACUCCUACGGGAGGCAGCAGUGGGGAAUAUUGCACAAUGGGCGGAAGCCUGAUGCAGCAACGCCGCGUGCGGGAUGACGGCCUUCGGGUUGUAAACCGCUUUCAGCAGGGGCGAAGCUUGCGGUGACGGUACCUGCAGAAGAAGCACCGGCUAACUACGUG
rnacentral:rRNA from 1 species